rnacentral:rRNA from 1 species
CCCUUAGAUGUUCUGGGCCGCACGCGCGCUACACUGACGAUGGCAACGAGUUUUUCCUUCGCCGAAAGGUGUGGGUAAUCUUUUGAAACAUCGUCGUGCUGGGGAUAGAUCAUUGCAAUUUUUGAUCUUGAACGAGGAAUUCCUAGUAAGCGCGAGUCAUCAGCUCGCGUUGAUUACGUCCCUGCCCUUUGUACACACCGCCCGUCGCUACUACCGAUUGAAUGGUUUAGUGAGGACUCCUGAUUGGCGCCGCCGCCCCGGCAACGGAGCAGCGGCCUGCCGAAAAGUUGUUCAAACUUGAUCAUUUAGAGGAAGUAAAAGUCGUAACA